GACAUAAAACAUGUGCGCGUUAUGCAGAGCCGAUGUUGAGGUGAUGAAUGCGUUUCAAUGUUUACAUUGGUACUGAAUAAAGUAAUCUUUCCAUGCAAUAUCAAACAAUUAUCGUUCAGUGUUGUGUGUCAAUUAUCCACUUUUCAUUGUCCUAAUGUAGAUGCUUAGGACAGGUAAUAUGUCAAAGAGACCUCUUCUACGAUUUGUCAUUGCAGGAUUAUUCCUAGAAUAUUCUCACUACUACCAAUGUAAAACAGCUUGCAAUCCCGCUAUCGAUACCGGACCCAGUGUUCUGCGGUCCCGAGCAUCAACUUGUCCUGUGAGUUCCAGAAUCAGAUGCCUGUGCAGCAACAAUACAGUGCGAUGGAGCCCAGCCUAUACAGAGGUCCGAUGUCUGACUUGUUUGGAUAAAGAAGCCUUUGCCCAGACAGUUGUUGUCCCAGCCCUCCAGCGCCAGGCAUGUUAAAGCGUGUUUGGCGGUCGAAGGCAGCGAUAAUGACAGGCUCUUGCUGCUGGACCCUGCCAGUGUCUCCUCACCCAACUCAUUCAGCGACGCAGAGGCCGAGGUGUUGCGGUCAUUUGGAGUACCUCAAGAGCUACAGCUGCAACAAGCUACAGCUGACCUAUGAUAACUUGAAGAGUGAGGAGGUUCUGUGCACUCUGCUUCCAGAGGGACAGGAUAUCACUCAGGGUUUAGUCGAGUGUGUCACAUUGCACAUAUGAACCUGCGGGAGCACCAGCUUCCCUACAGAAACCUCAUAGGCCAAGUCAUAAUGGAUAAGAACCCUUGGGUGACCUGUGUGGUCAAUAAGACCAACACCAUCGACUCCACCUACCGCUUCUUCAAGAUGGUGAUGGUUGGAGAGGAAAAUAUGGUGGCCAAAGUGCGUGAGAACGGUGUGACAUACGAGUUUGAUUUCUCCUGUGUGUAUUGGAACUGUCAGGGGUUCACAUAGGGAUCAGGGCUGUACCAAAUGUUUGAUGUAUUAUAAUAAUUGAUUAUGCUUAUGUUAUCUCCGCCCGGCAUAGCCAGAAGAGGACUGGCCACCCCUCAGACUGGUUUCUUCCUAGGUUUUGGCCUUUUUAGGGAGUUUUUUUCUAGCCACCGUGCUUCUACACCUGCAUUGCUUGCUGUUUGGGGUUUUAGGCUGGGUUUCUGUACAGCACUUUGAUAUUUCAGCUGAUGUACGAAGGGCUAUAUAAAUAAAUGUGAUUUGAUGUUGUAUUAAUAGAAGGGGAGGGGUUAUAACCCCAGCCUGGGGGUUUCCCUAGAGGGGCAGUGCUCUGUGCAUCUGGCGAGGAAUGUGGCCCCCAAUAGGGAGAUGUCUGUAACCUUCACUAUCCCCAAAGAGGUGCUCUUCAGCAGUAAGAAUACACACAGAAACCAUAGAAGAACCAGCGCCAAAGAGACAGAAGUCUGGGGAGACGAAAGAUUGAAUAUAUUUGACCAAGGAUGUCAUUCUGGGACAUUAAAAUUAUACAUUUUGUUUUUGAUCUGUGAAUGGUGUUCACAUUUUAAUUUUAAAGUGUCAAUGAGGCAGUCAUGAUCUAAAUCAUGGUAACGUCUUGACAGGUCCAAUUACCUGGUCAAACAAUAAGGCAUGGUUUCAAAAGCUUUAUUAUCCAACAAAUGACAUGGUUCAGACCACAACUGGCUUGUUUUUUAAAUAUUUAUUUGAAUAAAAAUGAAAAUAAGAUAAUACAAAAA